ACGAACGCUGGCGGCAGGCCUAACACAUGCAAGUCGAGCGCGCCUUCGGGCGAGCGGCGGACGGGUUAGUAACGCGUGGGAACGUGCCCAGAUCUACGGAAUAGCCACUGGAAACGGUGAGUAAUACCGUAUACGCCCUUAGGGGGAAAGAUUUAUCGGAUUUGGAUCGGCCCGCGUUAGAUUAGGUAGUUGGUGGGUAACGGCCUACCAAGCCUACGAUCUAUAGCUGGUUUUAGAGGAUGAUCAGCAACACUGGGACUGAGACACGGCCCAGACUCCUACGGGAGGCAGCAGUGGGGAAUCUUGC
rnacentral:rRNA from 1 species